rnacentral:tRNA from 1 species
UUAAUUGAAACCAAAAUAGAGGUAUAUCACUGUUAAUGAUAUUAAUGAGAUAACUCCAAUUAAA